rnacentral:lncRNA from 1 species
AGCACUGCAACAUGCUUGAGAAGCAUUGUACAAGAGUUGUACACUCAUCCAUUUAUGUGUCACUAAUAACUGUUAGGUGAGGUGGCAUGUAAAUCGGUGGAACAACAGUACCCACUAGAAACCCUAGUCGCGUAGGAUUUUCGUUUUCCUACCACGGGAGUGUGAGGAAUUCGAGAAAAUAAUGGGAGGUACAUUUGUUCUAAAAGACCCUAAAACAAAUUAGGAUCAAGUACAAAAAUCUAACUAGAAUCUUUACUCUCUACAGAUCACUAUGUCAGCCUCAAACCCUUUGACCCAUAUUCUUGAGACCAACCGACUGACCGGUACAAAUUACAAAGACUAGCUUAGAAACCUCAAAAUCGUUCUGAGUUGCGAAAAAAUAUGCUAUGUGCUCGACAAUGAUAUCCCUUUAUAUUACCAGUACGUCCGACCACUGAUCAGCAUGCGACGCAUGAAAAGUGGACAGACGAUGACAUUAGGGUCAAGUGCUACAUCAUGGCAUCCAUGUCCAAUGAACUUCAAUGCUAGCAUGAGAAUAUGAAGACUGCUAGGGACAUACUUGAAAGUGAAUCCUAGGUUCUUCGGUGUUAAGCAUGCUGUAUUUUUUUUUUUUUGGUAAAACCAUGGCUGAACCUGAUCGGGUUGCCUACGUACCCCUUCAUAAGGGGGAUCAAGCCAUACGUAGUUCUUUUUAAGUUUCAAAAAUGCAGCAAAAAAAUCGAAUCAAAUAAUUUAAUUCAUGCAUGCUUACAAGAUCAAAUCUAGAAAUCAGCACCUUA